GACGAACGCUGGCGGCGUGCUUAACACAUGCAAGUCGAACGGAAAGGCCCUGCUUUUGUGGGGUUCUCGAGUGGCGAACGGGUGAGUAACACGUGAGUAACCUGCCCUUGACUUUGGGAUAACUUCAGGAAACUGGGGCUAAUACCGGAUAGGAGCUCCUGCUGCAUGGUGGGGGUUGGAAAGUUUCGGCGGUUGGGGAUGGACUCGCGGCUUAUCAGCUUGUUGGUGGGGUAGUGGCUUACCAAGGCUUUGACGGGUAGCCUGCCUGAGAGGGUGACCGGCCACAUUGGGACUGAGAUACGGCCCAGACUACUACGGGAGGCAGCAGUGGGGAAUAUUGGACAAUGGGCGGAAGCCUGAUGCAGCAACGCCGCGUGCGGGAUGACGGCCUUCGGGUUGUAAACCGCUUUCGCCUGUGACGAAGCGUGAGUGACGGUAAUGGGUAAAGAAGCACCGGCUAACUACGUG
rnacentral:rRNA from 1 species